rnacentral:lncRNA from 1 species
UGAAUUGAAUAUUAUAAAAAUAAAGAAGAAUUCACAAUUAUAAAAAUAAUUUUAUAAAAAGGCAAAAAAGUUAAAAAAUGAAAAUAAAAAUAAAAAAGAAUUGAAAAAUAGAUUUAUUCAAAAAAAGAUGAGAGAGAAUUUUUAAAACUUUUAAUCAUUAAAUACAUAUAACUUUUACAUUUUAAGUCAAAUAUUUACAUAAAAUAUACUCCA